UUAAUCUGUACAAAAAAGGCAGUUUUUCCCCUUUAUUGACACUUGGAUUUUGUUACAAGACCCAAGAAAAAAAAAACCUUGUGGAAAUGCAUGCUAGAAAAGGUGAAGUUGCCACCCCCAACAUUACAUCACAAUCGAAGCGACAACAUCACCUAGUAAUCCUUAAGCAGAAAAGUUGAACUAAAUUACAACAAAGUGUACGAAUUAAACCAAAGAAUUCCUUGUUGCACGCCUCUUGUGCGCUGCUCGCGGCCGGAUGC